rnacentral:rRNA from 1 species
UGUCAGUCGAACGGUAGCACAGAGAGCUUGCUCUCGGGUGACGAGUGGCGGACGGGUGAGUAACGUCUGGGAAACUGCCCGAUGGAGGGGGAUAACUACUGGAAACGGUAGCUAAUACCGCAUAACGUCGCAAGACCAAAGUGGGGGACCUUCGGGCCUCACACCAUCGGAUGUGCCCAGAUGGGAUUAGCUAGUAGGUGGGGUAAUGGCUCACCUAGGCGACGAUCCCUAGCUGGUCUGAGAGGAUGACCAGCCACACUGGAACUGAGACACGGUCCAGACUCCUACGGGAGGCAGCAGUGGGGAAUAUUGCACAAUGGGCGCAAGCCUGAUGCAGCCAUGCCGCGUGUAUGAAGAAGGCCUUCGGGUUGUAAAGUACUUUCAGCGGGGAGGAAGGCGGUGAAGUUAAUAGCUUCACCGAUUGACGUUACCCGCAGAAGAAGCACCGGCUAACUCCGUGCCAGCAGCCGCGGUAAUACGGAGGGUGCAAGCGUUAAUCGGAAUUACUGGGCGUAAAGCGCACGCAGGCGGUCUGUCAAGUCGGAUGUGAAAUCCCCGGGCUUAACCUGGGAACUGCAUUCGAAACUGGCAGGCUGGAGUCUUGUAGAGGGGGGUAGAAUUCCAGGUGUAGCGGUGAAAUGCGUAGAGAUCUGGAGGAAUACCGGUGGCGAAGGCGGCC